UGGGUUUAAAGGGUGCGUAGGCGGGCGCUUAAGUCAGCGGUGAAAUGCGGGGGCUCAACCUUCGAACGGCCGUUGAUACUGGGCGCCUUGGAUUCGGUCGAGGCGGGCGGAAUGCGACAUGUAGCGGUGAAAUGCUUAGAUAUGUCGCAGAACGCCGAUUGCGAAGGCAGCUCGCCGGGCCGAUAUUGACGCUGAGGCACGAAAGCGUGGGGAUCAAACAGGAUUAGAUACCCUGGUAGUCCACGCCGUAAACGAUGAUGGCUGGAUGUUGGCGAUACACCGUCAGCGUCUGAGGGAAACCAUUAAGCCAUCCACCUGGGGAGUACGGCCGCAAGGCUGAAACUCAAAGGAAUUGACGGGGGCCCGCACAAGCGGAGGAACAUGUGGUUUAAUUCGAUGAUACGCGAGGAACCUUACCUGGGCUAGAACGCACUUGGAAUGUAUGGGAAACUGUACAGCCCUUCGGGGCCGGGUGCGAGGUGCUGCAUGGUUGUCGUCAGCUCGUGCCGUGAGGUGUCGGGUUAAGUCCCAUAACGAGCGCAACCCCUAUCGCUAGUUGCCAGCGGGUCAUGCCGGGGACUCUAGCGAAACUGCCAGCGUAAGCUGUGAGGAAGGCGGGGAUGACGUCAAAUCAGCACGGCC
rnacentral:rRNA from 1 species